rnacentral:rRNA from 1 species
CCUACGGGUGGCAGCAGUGGGGAAUAUUGCACAAUGGGGGGAACCCUGAUGCAGCGACGCCGCGUGAGUGAAGAAGUAUUUCGGUAUGUAAAGCUCUAUCAGCAGGGAAGAAAAUGACGGUACCUGACUAAGAAGCCCCGGCUAACUACGUGCCAGCAGCCGCGGUAAUACGGAGGGGGCAAGCGUUAUCCGGAUUUACUGGGCGUAAAGGGUGCGCAGGCGGCUUGGCAAGUCCGGAGUGAAAGGCGCGGGCUGAACCCGCGAACUGCUCUGGAUACUGUUAAGCUGGAGUGUAGGAGAGGUAAGCGGAAUUCUUGGUGUAGCGGUGAAAUGCGUAGAUAUUAGGCAGAACACCGGUUGCGAAGGCAGCUUACUGGACUACAACUGACGUUGAGGCACGAAAGCGUGGGGAGCAAACAGGAUUAGAUACCCUUGUAGUC